UACGUAGGGGGCAAGCGUUGUCCGGAAUUAUUGGGCGUAAAGAGCUCGUAGGCGGUUUGUCGCGUCUGCUGUGAAAUCCCGAGGCUCAACCUCGGGCCUGCAGUGGGUACGGGCAGACUAGAGUGCGGUAGGGGAGAUUGGAAUUCCUGGUGUAGCGGUGGAAUGCGCAGAUAUCAGGAGGAACACCGAUGGCGAAGGCAGAUCUCUGGGCCGUAACUGACGCUGAGGAGCGAAAGCGUGGGGAGCGAACGGG
rnacentral:rRNA from 1 species